AUUGAACGCUGGCGGCAGGCCUAACACAUGCAAGUCGAACGAGAUCUUCGGAUCUAGUGGCAGACGGGUGAGGAACACGUGGGAACAUCCCUUUCAGUUCGGAAUAACGUUGGGAAACUAACGCUAAUACCGGAUACGUCCUUCGGGAGAAAGAUUUAUCGCUGAAAGAUUGGCCCGCGUCUGAUUAGCUAGUUGGUGAGGUAAUGGCUCACCAAGGCUACGAUCAGUAGCUGAUCUGAGAGGAUGAUCAGCCACAUUGGGACUGAGACACGGCCCAAACUCCUACGGGAGGCAGCAGUGGGGAAUAUUGGACAAUGGGCGCAAGCCUGAUCCAGCCAUGCCGCGUGAGUGAUGACGGCCUUCGGGUUGUAAAGCUCUUUUGUCCGGGAAGAUAAUGACUGUACCGGAAGAAUAAGCCCCGGCAAACUUCGUGCCAGCCGCCGCAGUAA
rnacentral:rRNA from 1 species